rnacentral:rRNA from 1 species
GGCCACUGCUAUUGGGAUUCGAUUAAGCCAUGCGAGUCGAGAGGGUUCGGCCCUCGGCAGACUGCUCAGUAACACGUGGAUAACCUAACCUUAGGUGGAGGAUAAUCUCGGGAAACUGAGAAUAAUACUCCAUAGAUCUAGGCUGCUGGAAUGCAUCUAGAUCAAAAGCUCCGGCGCCUAAGGAUGGGUCUGCGGACUAUCAGGUUGUAGUCAGGGUAAAGACCUGACUAGCCUACGACGGAUAUGGGUUGUGAGAGCAAUAGCCCAGAGACGAUAUCUGAGACACGAUAUCGGGCCCUACGGGGCGCAGCAGGCGCGAAAUCUUCACAAUGUGCGAAAGCACGAUGAGGGAAUCCCAAGUGCUAGCACGUAAGUGUUAGCUGUUUCUUAGUCUAAAAAACUCAGAGAGUAAGAGCUGGGUAAGACGGGUGCCAGCCGCCGCGGUAAUACCUGCAGCUCAAGUGGUGGCCGCUAUUAUUGGGCCUAAAACGUCCGUAGCCUGUUUAGUAAAUGCUUGGGUAAAUUGUGUAGCUUAACUAUACGAAUACCGGGUAGACUGCUAAACUUGGGACCGGGAGAGGCUAGAGGUACUCCUGGGGUAGAGGUGAAAUUCUGUAAUCCUAGGGGGACCACCAGUGGCGAAGGCGUCUAGCUAGAACGGGUCUGACGGUGAGGGACGAAGCCCUGGGGCGCGAACCGGAUUAGAUACCCGGGUAGUCCAGGGUGUAAACGCUGCUUGCUUGAUGUUAGUUGGGCUCCGAGCCCAACUAGUGUCGGAGAGAAGUUGUUAAGCAAGCUGCCUGGGAAGUACGGUCGCAAGACUGAAACU